CACUCCUUCACGCACGCAGCAGCACACACAGAGCGCAGCACAUGGUGCGGUAUGGCUAGCACCGCAGCACUCAGCUCGCCGGUGGAGGCGCGUGUGGCAUGGACGCCGAGCCCGAAGCCGAUCCCGGCAGCACUCAGCUCCGUCGAUCCUGGCAGCACGCGGCGGCCCAAGCCGUGGCUGCUGUAGAUGCGCUGGCUGCGUGGAGGCCGAGCCGCUCAACGCCGGCGACCGACCGUUGGCUGUGGCCAGCAGCACAAUGCGGUGGUGAGUCUGUGACAGAGGCGCCACACCCCAUUCACUCCGCUGCGUACGCUGACCCUCUCAGUAGAUCUGAGUGUUUCUUAGCAAGUUAAGGGGGAAACUUUAUUCCUAUUAUUUGAUCUGCGUGGCGUCUUGAGAAAUGAAGUUCCUUGGCUGAUUUAGAUAAAGCAGUGUUGCGUACAGCCACAACACCUUAUAGCAAUUGUUUUAUUGGUCUAUGGUAGGAAAAAAAUACCUCAUUGUUUCUUGUUUUUUUGGCUCUUUCAGAUACGUAAUCCCUUGGCCAAUGUGUAUAGGGCAGUACCAUAAACAGCCACAUUCUUGCCGUCUUGGUAAGUCUUGCUUCCAUAUGUUUUCACUAUAUUCCCUAUAAGCAUUGUUAGACCUUAUGCCAAUUAUUAUUCAUUGCGAUUAAUUUUAAAAAUUUGCAUUAAUGUGAGCAGUCAGCAUUAUCUCUUUAAGUAUAUUAGAUUUUGUCUCUGGAUUGGGACAAGCAGUAUUUGAGAGCUUUGCCGUAUGUGGUUUUAAGCUUUCACUGUAUAUAAACUUUUGUUUAGCCAUGUCAACCGAUAUGAGCUCUCACUACUGAAUAUUAUUUUUUUCAUAUAUAAAGCUUUUGCCAUAUUUAUGAACUUUUAUUUAGCCUUGCCAACCGAUGUGAUUCCUGACCUUAAGUAUUUGGUGCUCCAAUGCAGGUUGUGAUUCCUUUCUGAUGAAGAAAGGAGAGGGGUUCGGUCCAGAGAUAGCAUUUUUGGUGGUUUCUUUUUUUUAUGGCUCCUCUUUCUUGCUUGUGCAGUAUUUGCACAUUCCUAUCACUGCCACCAGAUUGCUUGUGCAUGAACUUGAUGCUAGCUAGCUAUAACUUGUCUCGUGCAAGAACUUGGUGGUAGCUUCUAGAGUUGUUUAUUUGGCUGGAUCAUUUUGUAUUGACACUUUGUUGUGCUUUUGUCUAGAGACAUGGCUGCAACAUGUGCUUUUGUAUGAGCUGGAAUAUUAUUUAUAUAUUUUGUUGUAUGGGUUGGUCAUCAU
rnacentral:lncRNA from 1 species